rnacentral:rRNA from 1 species
AAAUUGAAGAGUUUGAUCAUGGCUCAGAUUGAACGCUGGCGGCAGGCCUAACACAUGCAAGUCGAACGGUAACAGGAAGAAGCUUGCUUCUUUGCUGACGAGUGGCGGACGGGUGAGUAAUAUCUGGGAAACUGCCUGAUGGAGGGGGAUAACUACUGGAAACGGUAGCUAAUACCGCAUAAUGUCGCAAGACCAAAGAGGGGGACCUUCGGGCCUCUUGCCAUCGGAUGUGCCCAGAUGGGAUUAGCUAGUAGGUGGGGUAA